CUCAGGAGUUCAAGCUUCCUGGAGUGGGGGUUUCUCUAUUUCAGAUUCUUCAGAUUUCCAGACAACUAUUUUCUCCCAAAAAGUUGCACCAAGCAAAAAAUUACCUCAAUACACAUAAUGGCAAAUGCGGGAAACUGACCGAGAGAUCAAGUGAAUUGCCCAAAGUCACAUGAGAAGCCUAGAGAAGGGCAGGGGACUGAAGCCAGGUCCCAAACUAGCACAUUAACUACUGGACCAUCUGUGCCCAAGAAACCCAUAAUGCCAACUGAGGAAAUCCCAUCUUGUCAAAGGGAUAUGAAAUUGGAUAGAAGAUCCUUGGGUCCUGAUUCUGUCAUUUCAGAACUGCUUAGCCUUCAUCAGGGGAAGUUUGAGUCAAAAGACUGAGGUCCCAGUUAUUCUGGUACACCCUGAAUAUGAGAUUUGAACAUUGGACUAUGACUUGUGAACUAAAUUCU